CCUACGGGAGGCAGCAGUGGGGAAUCUUAGACAAUGGGCGCAAGCCUGAUCUAGCCAUGCCGCGUGAGCGAUGAAGGCCUUAGGGUUGUAAAGCUCUUUCGUGGGGGAAGAUAAUGACGGUACCCCAAGAAGAAGCCCCGGCUAACUCCGUGCCAGCAGCCGCGGUAAUACGGAGGGGGCUAGCGUUGUUCGGAAUUACUGGGCGUAAAGCGCACGUAGGCGGAUCGGAUAGUCAGAGGUGAAAUCCCAGGGCUCAACCUUGGAACUGCCUUUGAAACUCCCGGUCUUGAGGUCGAGAGAGGUGAGUGGAAUUCCGAGUGUAGAGGUGAAAUUCGUAGAUAUUCGGAGGAACACCAGUGGCGAAGGCGGCUCACUGGCUCGAUACUGACGCUGAGGUGCGAAAGCGUGGGGAGCAAGCAGGAUUAGAUACCCUGGUAGUCCACGCCGUAAACGAUGAAUGCCAGUCGUCGGCAGGCAUGCCUGUCGGUGACACACCUAACGGAUUAAGCAUUCCGCCUGGGGAGUACGGCCGCAAGGUUAAAACUCAAAUGAAUUGACGG
rnacentral:rRNA from 1 species